UGAAAAAGAACCUGAAACCGUGUACGUACAAGCAGUGGGAGCACCCUGGUGUGACUGCGUACCUUUUGUAUAAUGGGUCAGCGACUUAUAUUCUGUAGCAAGGUUAACCGAAUAGGGGAGCCGGAGGGAAACCGAGUCUUAAUUGGGCGUUAAGUUGCAGGGUAUAGACCCGAAACCCGGUGAUCUAGCCAUGGGCAGGUUGAAGGUUGGGUAACACUAACUGGAGGACCGAACCGACUAAUGUUGAAAAA
rnacentral:rRNA from 1 species